UACGGGGGGGGCAAGCGUUGUUCGGAAUUACUGGGCGUAAAGGGCUCGUAGGCGGCCAACUAAGUCAGACGUGAAAUCCCUCGGCUUAACCGGGGAACUGCGUCUGAUACUGGAUGGCUUGAGUGCAGGAGAGGAACGCGGAAUUCCAGGUGUAGCGGUGAAAUGCGUAGAUAUCUGGAGGAACACCGGUGGCGAAGGCGGCGUUCUGGACUGCAACUGACACUGAGGAACGAAAGCCAGGGGAGCAAACGGG
rnacentral:rRNA from 1 species